UGGCGGACCAUAGCGUUUUACCCACCUGGACUCCAUUCCGAACUCAGAAGUGAGAUAUACGCCGAUGGUAUGUGGGUUUCCCCAUGUGAGAGUAGGACAUCGCCAGCUU
rnacentral:rRNA from 1 species